GUCCGUGUGGCCUAAUGGAUAAGGCGUCUGACUUCGAAUCAGAAGAUUGCAGGUUCGAGUCCUGUCACGGACG
rfam:Stegodyphus mimosarum contig93665, whole genome shotgun sequence.